rnacentral:rRNA from 1 species
ACGGAAGGCAGCAGUGAGGAAUAUUGGUCAAUGGGCGGAAGCCUGAACCAGCCAAGUCGCGUGAAGGAUGAAGGUAUUAUGUAUUGUAAACUUCUUUAGCUGUGGAGCAAUAAUCUCCAUGUAUGGAGAGAUGAGAGUACACAGAGAAUAAGGAUCGGCUAACUCCGUGCCAGCAGCCGCGGUAAUACGGAGGACCCGAGCGUUAUCCGGAUUUAUUGGGUUUAAAGGGUGCGCAGGCGGAGGAUUAAGUCAGCGGUGAAAUUCUCAUGCUCAACAUGAGAACUGCCAUUGAUACUGGUCCCCUUGAGAGAUGUCGAGGAUGGCGGAAUGUGAUGUGUAGCGGUGAAAUGCUUAGAUAUGUCACAGAACACCGAUUGCGAAGGCAGCUGUCCAGAGAUCUUCUGACGCUCAGGCACGAAAGCAUGGGUAUCAAACAGGAUUAGAUACCCUGGUA